rnacentral:misc_RNA from 1 species
GUCUCGUACCCAGGACAAUGAAGGGUUUGUCUUACUUUCUUGAUUGUUGAUUUUAUUUGGAAGCAUUUUUAGCUGGAUGAUUAUUUUUUUUAUUUAUGGUAUAUCAUGUGGUACUGUGCUUUAAAAUACUUGUUGUGCAUGCAUUAACUGUUACAAUCAAUGCUAAAUUUUUCAUUAUCAGGUUCCUUGAUUAUGCAUGUUCUACCAUGCUAGAAAGUGAAGAUAAGAUUACUUUGAUUGAUCCAACCAUUUAAUAUUGAUGGAAUCUUCUGGAAAAAAGUUAUUUGCCCUUUGGGACUGCCUGGCAUUAUAGUGGUUAUUGUGUGGUGUGCAUUUCAGUCUUAAGAGCAUCCAUUAAUGAGAAAAAUAAGAGCAUGGCAUUCCAAAAGUUUAACAAUUUGUUGAUUUUUUAUUCUUCUAUUUGUUGAUUCCCCCCUCUUCUUUUUUUCCUAAAUGCAUCCAUAUGUCUUGGCUUCCUUGGACUGAUGAAGUAGUGGUAGCAAAAUCAUAAAUGCUUCAAAAGCUGUUAAGAGUGCUACAUUGGAGCCUUAGAAGAUCCAAUGAGAAGCAAUGAUGGAAGAUUGAAGUUAAAAAGAAUUCUAAAAGUCAUGUAAUGGGUGAUAAAUGGCUCUUAAAACGAGAAGAAAAUAUAAGAGGUGGUGAGUUGUGACGAAUUGCUGUUCCAAUUGCCAAUGGAGCCAUCGGCCUUUAGGCUCAAUGUGUAGGGUUGGGAAAUGCAGUAUGGAUUCACAAGUGCUCAACUAUGCUGGGCAACUCAACUAACAUACAAAAAUUUCUAUACUUUUACUUUGAUUCAUGUACUUAUUUUUAUGGAACACUGUGUUUGAAACAUGAUUUCAAAUAACGGCUGUUACGUAACGUAAUAGCCAUUAUUUAUAGGUUUUGGAAGGGCUUGUUAUGCGAUACACUUUUAUUUAUAGGCAAAUUUGGAGUUGCAGGUAAAACGGCCAUUACGUAACGGUAAUAGCUGUUUUUGCAAUCAUGCAACGGUAACGGUCUGUUGCAAUCACAUGAAUAUAGUGUUAUUUUGCUCCUCUUUUCUUUGUUUGCGAAUUCUCUCUUCCACAGCUGCUAUAUCUCUUGUAUUCUCUCAAAAUUUCAACCAAAUUUCUCCUUUCUUCUACAA